CGCCAUUUUGCAAUUUGCAAUUUUACAUAGUUUUGUUUGCUAAUAAUUACCCUUUAAUUUUCAUGUAUUGUUUUUUAAUAGUGCAGCUAAUUAGUUUUAUUUUCUUCUCUUUUACAGAUUGAUUUAUUAUUUAAAGCAUAUUGAAGAUUAUUUGGACUAUUAAGUAUCGCUAAAUGUAUGGUGUAUGAUGACAAUGUUCUUGCUACAGUUCAUUUGCUCUUUUCUCCAUGUGAAAACAUUUUGUACAUCAUUAAGAUUAUCCUAGAAGCAUGAAAUUCAUGGGCUAUGAACUUCUCUAUUGUUGAUGCCUUCACUUUGCAACAGUAUGCAAUUAAUUUUUGAGCUGACUUUCCCAAUGGUAGCAAACAAUCUAUUACUAUUAUACUAAUGGCACCAGUACAGAGAUUGGCCUGUAAAUAAAAGCAUGCUGAAGUUUAUUUGGGGUACCCCCAAAUGGAUAGUUUAUGAUGAAAUGCUUCCUACACAUCCUUUACUUUCGUCUUCUUCUCAUAGAAACAUUUUGUAUAUCAUUAAGGAACAUCAUCAUCGACAUUGGAUUGCAAAUCAAUUUCAAGUUCAUUUAGAUGCUACAGAAAACAAGUUGUCAACUAGCUGUUACUUUUUCAUCUAGGAGAAUCUAGUAGUUAAUUAAGGUUGUCCAACAAAUGAGAAGGAAUUGCAGUUAAAAUGCUACUGAAACAGCUGAUGCAUUGACUUUUUGCCUUGAAACAUUAUGCAUUAUGUGAGGGGGAGGCAACUGGUGAUUAAUUUUGAAACCACUGAAACAAGAAAUUUUCUGCAAUGGUAUUCUUGUUAGAUGUAGUUUGCUCAGACCUGCAGACUUUAGAACGUUACUUACUGUGGUUAAUUAAGAUCGACAGUGGAGAAGACAAAGAAGACCCCAUACUUGAAAUAGUUUUCUACUAUGCAUGCUUUUUAGUUGAAUUAAUUUUUUAUUUUGCACGUUUUCUGUAGUUUGUUUUAUUAAAUUAAUUUUUGAUUGUA